rnacentral:rRNA from 1 species
GGAUUGCCUCAGUAACGGCGAGUGAAGCGGCAACAGCUCAAAUUUAGAAUCUGGCCCCUCCGGGGUCCGAGUUGUAAUUUGCAGAGGAUGCUUCGGCGUCGGCCCCGGGUCAAGUCCCUUGGAACAGGGCGUCCUAGAGGGUGAGAGCCCCGUACGCCCGGGCCGCCUUCGCCGUGUGAAGCUCCUUCGACGAGUCGAGUUGUUUGGGAAUGCAGCUCUAAGAGGGAGGUAAAUUUCUUCUAAAGCUAAAUACCGGCCAGAGACCGAUAGCGCACAAGUAGAGUGAUCGAAAGAUGAAAAGCACUUUGGAAAGAGAGUUAAAAAGCACGUGAAAUUGUUGAAAGGGAAGCUCUUGCCGCCAGACUUGCCGCGGUUGCUCAGCCGCCCUUCCGGGCGGCGUACUCUUCCGCCGGCAGGCCAGCGUCAGCUCGGGCGGCCGGAAAAAGGCCCUGGGAAUGUAGCCCUCCUCGGGGGGUGUUAUAGCCCGGGGUGCAAUGCGGUCAGCCCGGGUUGAGGCACGCGUUCGCUAGGACGCUGGCGUAAUGGCUGCAAGCGACCCGUCUUGAAACACGGACCAAGGAGUCUAACAUCUGUGCGAGUGUUUGGGUGCCAAACCCGUGCGCGUAAUGAAAGUGAACGGAGGUGGGAACCCCCGAGGGUGCACCAUCGACCGAUCCUGAUGUCUUCGGAUGGAUUUGAGUAAGAGCAUAGCUGUUGGGACCCGAAAGAUGGUGAACUAUGCCUGAAUAGGGUGAAGCCAGAGGAAACUCUGGUGGAGGCUCGCAGCGGUUCUGACGUGCAAAUCGAUCGUCAAAUUUGGGUAUAGGGGCGAAAGACUAAUCGAACCAUUUGAAUCUCACGCUACUAGGUGGUUAAGAGACGCCGGGGGCACCCACACACAUGGUUCUCGGCGUCUAACCGGCGGGGACAUAGGCCUCCCGUUGAGGGUUUCGUAUGCGGCCCCGUCCGGCAACGUGGUCAAUUUGCGGGGACAUCCUUAUCGCCCGCGGCUACCGCGGCCCCGGAGUCCGAGUUUUCCUCGGACGCCUGCAAAGGGCGCAGCACCGAGCCUCCGGGCUCGGGCAUGGUAAAAACGCCGAGGGAUUGGACGAUCCGCAGCCAUACCCCCGAGGGGCAUCCAAGAGUGCGCUUCACAGGAGUUUGGUCCACAGACUAUAGGGUCACGGGCGGCGCUUCCCGCCGCUCAAGAUAUAGUCGGGUACCUUCGAGAGAAGUUGGUCGACCCGGGGCUCCCUCCCCUGCCCCCCCAGGGGCAAGUGGAGGGUUAAGCUCUCCGGGGUCAAGAAAAGGGAAUCCAGUCGCUAGUAGCUGGUUCCUGCCGAAGUUUCCCUCAGGAUAGCAGUAACGUUUUCAGUUUUAUGAGGUAAAGCGAAUGAUUAGAGGCCUUGGGGUUGAAACAACCUUAACCUAUUCUCAAACUUUAAA